GACGUAGGGCGCGAGCGUUGUCCGGAUUUAUUGGGCGUAAAGAGCUCGUAGGCGGUUUGUCGCGUCGAAUGUGAAAACCCGGGGCUCAACUCCGGGCCUGCAUUCGAUACGGGCAGACUAGAGUUCGGUAGGGGAGUCUGGAAUUCCUGGUGUAGCGGUGAAAUGCGCAGAUAUCAGGAGGAACACCGGUGGCGAAGGCGGGACUCUGGGCCGAUACUGACGCUGAGGAGCGAAAGCGUGGGGAGCGAACAGG
rnacentral:rRNA from 1 species